GACGAACGCUGGCGGCGUGCUUAACACAUGCAAGUCGAACGGUAAGGCCCUUCGGGGUACACGAGUGGCGAACGGGUGAGUAACACGUGGGUGAUCUGCCCUGCACUUCGGGAUAAGCCUGGGAAACUGGGUCUAAUACCGGAUAGGACCCUGGGAUGCAUGUCCUGGGGUGGAAAGCUUUUGCGGUGUGGGAUGGGCCCGCGGCCUAUCAGCUUGUUGGUGGGGUGAUGGCCUACCAAGGCGACGACGGGUAGCCGGCCUGAGAGGGUGACCGGCCACACUGGGACUGAGAUACGGCCCAGACCCCUACGGGAGGCAGCAGUGGGGAAUAUUGCACAAUGGGCGCAAGCCUGAUGCAGCGACGCCGCGUGAGGGAUGACGGCCUUCGGGUUGUAAACCUCUUUCAGCACCGACGAAGCGCAAGUGACGGUAGGUGCAGAAGAAGGACCGGCCAAUUACGUGCCAGCCGCCGCGGUAA
rnacentral:rRNA from 1 species